rnacentral:lncRNA from 1 species
CUGUUUUUCAGUUGGUACAUUUUAGCAAUGUGUACCGGGUUUCAGUAGACAAAAAUACCCUUAUAUAUAAUGAAUUCUAAGUUUUAAGGUCAAGGGUAUUUUGAUAAUUUUCAUUCUCAAAAUUAAAAAAAAAAUAAAAAAAGAAACCCCAAACCAUUACCCAAUUUUCAUUCUCAAAACUAAAAAAAAAAAAACAAACCCUUAGUCACCUCCUUCAUUCCUCUCAACCCUUUCUCCUUAAUCUUUCUCACUCAAACAUUUUCUCUGUCAUCUCUGCACUAGUCCCAACUAAAAAAACACUCAUUAUUAAACGAUUUACUUUUGUAAAGAGUUGAGUCAUUGACAUAUUCACCUUCCGAAAAAAGUUCAUUCAAAAUCUCUUUAAUUUCAUUAUCUUCACUAUAUAUAUUACAGCCAACGGGCACAACUUGCACCAAGACUUAUGAGCAUCCUUUCUUUACAUUCUGAGACUACUACGUAACAUUGUUCCGUGGCCAUUUAUUUUUUUUG